GUGCUGGAUUUGCAUAGUGCAUUCCUUGUCUUGGGGGUGUUGUGGAAACCAUCCAUUUCUCUCUGUUCAUCUCCCUUUAGGUGCUAGCCUGGAAAUAAAUUUUGCCAAAUAAAGUCACCUUUACAUGACUUGUACUUCUUCUCCACCCAGCAUCUCUUAGGCUGAUGUUUGCAGCGAAGUGUAGAAGAGAGACAGUAGUCCUUUCCAGGAGUAAAACUCUCUCCCUACAUUUUUCCAAACUAAAUCAUGUUAACAGUGGCUUUCGUGGCUUUCAGGGGGUGGUGAGUUUAUGGGGAAUCCUUAUUUUAUUUACAUUUUCCAAGUACUACUUCCAUAGUUAAAUUUGUCUUUUUUGAAGAAAGAAAAGUACAUUGAAGGUGAUUGGAGUUCUCACUCAUAGAAAGUCUUGUAAGAGAAUCCUCAUAAGCCAUGACAUUCUCAGUGACAUGGCAAUGCCUCUGAGUCUCUUUUAGGAGAAGAUUCUCAGCAUAAUAUUCAGGUUUUUAAAAUUUAUUUUUUAAAAAGAUACAUGAGUAUAAACUCUGUAAGGUGAGCUUUAGGAUUGUAAUUGAAAACAGUUUACUACUCCCAAGUGACUGCUUCUCUUCCUUUCAAUGUAGGACAUCACUCAUGAGUAUCAACUCUUCAGUGCAUUACAGGAAAAUGUGGUUUUGGAAAAUUCCUGAGAAAAGAACUAUAAGGGCAUGUCCUAUGUCAUAUGUCAAAGAAAAACUUAGCUAGCAGGGAUAAAUGGAGAACAUAGUCAUAUGGUUAAGAUGUCUCAAAACCAAAGCUGGGCACUAUCUAUGAGCUUCACGCAUGAAGCACCAGGUAUUACUCACUGCCCUCCACUGCUCUCUUCACACCUCCAUGCUCUGAGCCAGUUGACAACAUUCCCUUUGUCCCCACAUACUUUCUGCUGGACUGCUGUUGGGCUUUCCAUUCAUUCAUCCAACUUUUAUUGAACCCCUAGCAUGUGCCUUUUACUGCAUCUUUGCUCUGAGAUGACAGAAAUGGACAUGACAGAUCCUUUCCCUAAAGAGACAUGAGCCUAGAGGAGAGGCAGCUGUGCUAAGGUGAUAGUAAAACAGAUGACUGCUGACACAAAGGCUCAUACAGGGUGUUAGGGAGCCCAGAGAGCUAAUUCUGCUUGACAGAGGAGGGCAGAGAAUAAAUAAGGCGGUGGGGGGGGGGAGUUACAAAGGAGGAGACACUUGCACUAAUUCAUCAGGUACACUGGGGAGGGGGCAAUGACAGAGGAUCUGGGGAUAGAGACCCAGAGAGGAGAGCCAGGAGUCCACAUCAAGAGAAGGGCUCAGGAAUGACAAAGUGAUUUAUCUGGGACUUAUUCUGGCAAACUGUUAAGUGGAAGACUGAACCCAAUGGACCAAGAACCUGAGGGGGUAGAUGUAAUGGGUGGAAUUCUAAGAUAAUCUCCACCCCCUGCAGAAUUCUCUCCCUCUGAGAGUGAAAAGGAUUUGUGAAGAUCUAAUUUCACACCUGUGACUAUGUUACUUUAUAUAGUAAAAGGGGUUUUGUAGGUAUAAUCAAGGUCCCUAAUCAGUUGACUUUGAGUGAAUUAAAAAGGGAGAUUAUCCUGGGCCUGAAAUAAGCAGGUGAAGUCUUUAAAAGGGUGCAGGCCUUCCCAGAAGUCAGAGUGAUUCCAAGAAGAAGAGAGGCUUUCCUAUUGGCCUUGAAGAAGCAAUCUGCCAUGCUGUAGAGAGAACCACAUGGCAGGGAUCAACAUGUGGCCUCUAGGAGCUGCAAGUGAAUUAAACAAGCAGUGAGCUUGGAAGAGAACUCUAAGCCUCAAGUAACAUUCCAGCCCUGGCCAACACCUUGAUUCCAUCCUGAAGAAUGCCCAGGUGAGUGAUGUCAGCUGCAGCUCUGUGACUUCCCCUGCCCGACAAGAGAUGGGUGGAAAGUAGAGAAUCCAGAGAUGAUGUUUAUACCCCGAUGAGACAUCAAAAAUGUGUUUCAUUCAAAGGACCCUGAGAAAAAUCACAUCACCCUUUGAGUCUGUUUCCCUGUCUGCCAUAUAGGAAUCACAAAACUAAUCACAAAGGCUUGCUGGACUGUCAUGAGGAUGAUUCAACCCACUGGCAUUACUUUGAUGUAGAAAGAGAAGACUGAAGGUUUUUGAACUGCAUGCUAGCAGGGAUGCAGCUGACAACAUAGUGACCGAGAUCUGCUCCCAGGGGUUCUGGAUGAGCAGGGAGAUCCACAGAAUUCAAGGCCUUCAGAAGUUGAAUGGGCCACUCAUCAGGGAGGAGCUGUGAAAAGCCUUGAUGGAAUCUAGAAACUCAAAUUCUCGUCCUGGCUCCUUCAUCGACUCCAUGCCCAUAGGCAAAUCACUUAGCCUCUGGAGUUCGGUUUCCUCAUUGGUAAAAUGCAGUAAAGGGACGGACUCAUAAUUUAUCCUCAUUCACAGCUCUGAGUUAUCCUUCUAUUAAUAAACAUGUCACCACAUUCGCACCAGAGGUGAAGAAGAAUUUGGCUGUUUCCAAUCUAAAUAUCAGGAUACCCAUAUCAUUACAAAUGAGGAAACACCCUAAGAUGUGGCCUGCAGAGCUGAAGGCGACAGAUGGAUCCUUGUCCCCUCUGUAUUCUCUGCUCAACUACAGGAGGCCAAGCUCCACAAUGUCAAGAGAGCAGAUGUUUCCAUUGCCAUGUGCUGCAGACGCAUUCCAGAGUCAAUCCUCAAUGAACGUCUACUGAACUAAGCAGAUGUAGGCAGAGCACACGGAUAACAACAGGGACUCAAGGCCCAUGAAGAAUUAUGCAGACAGGCCGGACUCUGUCCUGGAAAGGGGGAGGCCUAGGCCCUCAUGGAGGAGCCAAAGGGAGAGAACCCCAUCAAUACACUAUGAACUAAAUGGAAAGAAGUGCUAUUUAGAAAAAAACCUGAUGAAUAAAAUUCCUGAGAGCAGCAACUGUCA